rnacentral:rRNA from 1 species
GACGAACCGAGCGACCGUUAUUCGGAAUCACUGGGCUUAAAGGGUGCGUAGGCGGGCUGUCAAGUCUGGGGUGAAAUCCCGCGGCUCAACCGUGGAACUGCCUUAGAUACUGAUGGCCUCGAGGAAGGUAGGGGCAUGCGGAACUGUAGGUGGAGCGGUGAAAUGCGUUGAUAUCUACAGGAACUCCGGUGGCGAAAGCGGCGUGCUGGACCUUUUCUGACGCUGAGGCACGAAAGCUAGGGGAGCAAACGGG